GACAGAGGGUGCAAACGUUGUUCGGAUUUACUGGGCGUAAAGGGCGCGUAGGCGGCCUCCGCAAGUCGACUGUGAAAUCUCCGGGCUUAACCCGGAAAGGUCAGCCGAAACUGCGGGGCUAGAGUGCAGAAGGGGCAACUGGAAUUCUCGGUGUAGCGGUGAAAUGCGUAGAUAUCGAGAGGAACACCUGCGGCGAAGGCGGGUUGCUGGGCUGACACUGACGCUGAAGCGCGAAAGCUAGGGGAGCGAACGGG
rnacentral:rRNA from 1 species